rnacentral:rRNA from 1 species
ACCCGCUGAACUUAAGCAUAUCAAUAAGCGGAGGAAAAGAAACCAACAGGGAUUGCCCUAGUAACGGCGAGUGAAGCGGCAACAGCUCAAAUUUGAAAUCUGGCGUCUUUGGCGUCCGAGUUGUAAUUUGCAGAGGGCGCUUUGGCAUUGGCAGCGGUCCAAGUUCCUUGGAACAGGACGUCACAGAGGGUGAGAAUCCCGUACGUGGUCGCUAGCCUUUACCGUGUAAAGCCCCUUCGACGAGUCGAGUUGUUUGGGAAUGCAGCUCUAAAUGGGAGGUAAAUUUCUUCUAAAGCUAAAUACUGGCCAGAGACCGAUAGCGCACAAGUAGAGUGAUCGAAAGAUGAAAAGCACUUUGGAAAGAGAGUUAAAAAGCACGUGAAAUUGUUGAAAGGGAAGCGCUUGCAAUCAGACUUGCCCGCGGUUGUUCAGCCGGUCUUCUGACCGGUUUACUCUUCCGUGGGCAGGCCAGCAUCAGUUUCGGCGGCCGGAUAAAGGCCUUGGGAAUGUAGCACCCCCUCGGGGGUGUGUUAUAGCCCAGGGUGUAAUACGGCCUGCUGGGACUGAGGUCCGCGCUUCGGCUAGGAUGCUGGCGUAAUGGUUGU